CUUCUAGGAUGAGGUUUGGAAAGUUCUACGCAGCUCAUGAUGCGCUACGAACUUCUUACUCUCGGAUGGAAACCAUCAAUUUCCCAGGGCUGAGCACCUGCUACAGAUUGGCAGCUUGCAAGCCUGCCCAGUCGUCCCUCCGUCAGUCUUUCAGUCGGUUUUCUCCCGCCGGCCCAAAGCCAUCGGUGAUUGACGUGGUCUGUCGUCGAUAAGAAAAGCCUUAACACGGUCUCUUUGGUGGUGCAGUCAAGUGCAGUGACAAUUGGUGAUAAGACACAGAGUGACAAUAAUUCAGUCCGAUUGACUGUAUGUGGAGUGUAAGCUGUUAUUUGGCCUGCAGUAGAUCGUCCGGCUAUAACGUGGAAGCGAAGGAUUUGCAAUACGAGGAAAUCAUUUUUGGCACAGAAGCUUAUUUCCAGGAAAUCCGAGAGGGCCUUUUUUCCCGAUAGGAGUCUUUUAUACAAGAAUCCCUUAGUCCAAAGGAAGUAACCAGAUUAAAUGCCCCCAAGAAAGAAUCGAAUCACGGAAGUUCAUACAGAACAACUUGUUUUUCACAUGAACAAAAUAUUGAGCUGCAUGAUACUGAUCAGCAACAGCACUGCCCAUCUCUACCAGUUACCAGCUACUAGCGAGUAUAUGUAGAAGUACAUGAAGUUCUAGGUUCCAACAGACGAUGUUACACACUCUUCUACAUUGUGGUAGCAUCCACUAUUUUCACUUUGUCGGGAAACUCCCCGAAGACAAUACACCGAAAGAAUGCCUACACUGCAACCCAGGAAAAGAAGGCAAAAUUGGCGUCAUACUGUGGAGGCUAUGCUGUGCUCGGUCGCAUAUAGGAAAUAAAUUAUGUUAAAAUGUAUUUAUUCACGGUAAAUGACUGUAAUGAUGCAGUCGGGAUUCGGUUGAUCUUGAUACAAACAGAAGCACGGAGAAACAUAUACAUACAUCGCUACAGGGAGAGAUUCUACACGCCGGGCGGAGGAAAUUAGAAUCGACGAUAGCUUGAAGGCCCGUUAGCUAGAGAAGAAGAGGCGCGCAGAUGGACCC